ACAACCACAAUUGUGAGAACAUCUCCAACCCCUCUUAGCCUCCACACACUCUUCUUAUGGGAUUUGAAUCGCUUGAGAGCUGGGUCUUCAGCCAAAAGAGCUUGCUCGCGAGGCCCAGGUUCGACGUGGAAUCNACGCGAAAGAGAGAGUGCGUCUUGAGAAUGAGACCGAAAAUGAGAAGAAAUGGUGGAAUUAUUGAG
rnacentral:misc_RNA from 1 species